rnacentral:lncRNA from 1 species
GGGGGUGGUGCAUUUUUUCUAUGUUACAUACAGUGUACAAAGAAUUACUCCUUAGAAUAACUAAAGAAUUGGUUUCCGUGGGAGAUAUCCGACGAAUAAAACUCUGCCAAAAGCUUGGGCAGCUUGGGAGGCCUAUCAAUGCCGCUCUUUUGGGAGUUUUUGGGCUGGCCCAUAUAGUAGCAGGAAUAAGAUGGUCAUGGGCUUCCUUUCCUAACCAACUACUCUACACUAACCCAAAAAAAAA